CACUAACAGGGACGUGAGCUGGGUUUAGCCCGUCGUGAGACAGGUUAGUUUUACCCUACUGAUGAUCUGUCA